rnacentral:lncRNA from 1 species
CAAUCGCAUUACAAAGAGAAAGCUGGAAUCCAGGCAAAGGACUCUGUUGUUCCAACCCUGUGGUCGAGGCUCUGUCAGGGAAAGUCCUCAUUCAGAGCUGUGGGAGACAUGUGUAGCUUGUGCCUGCCCACUCUCUCUUCUUCAGCCUGAAACCUGAGAGCCUGAAAGAGGCGAGAAGACCAAUGAGGAGACUUUGGAAAUGCCCAGAGGAAAUCAUGAGAGAGCAGAGAUGCAAGAACAGUGUGCACCAGGAAGAGCAAAUCAUGUGAGCAAAGGCACGGAGGCAGAGACGGACAAGCCAUCUAGCUGUUUCUUAUUGUGGCUUCAAGUGGAAGACAAACACAUGUUUUAAAGCCACCACUAUUUUUGCAGUUGCUCCUCAGAUAGAGGUUGAGAGCAUCACAGGAAGACAGGGAGGGAAGACUUCUGUUUUGUUUGGCGAGAAUCCCUCUCAGAGGCUUUUGAAUUAAGCAAAGGGAAGCUAAGGACUCUUCUGAAAAGAUCUUCACUGAGGGGAGGGCCACAUCUCUCUCAAGAUAUUUCUGUGUCAUCAGGGAAGAGAGAAUUCUCCUCUCUCUGGAAGGAAGUAGGAGUUGGAGCUUCAACCCUGAUUUGGGGGAGAGAUGGCUAAAGGCACUACGGACUGUGGGAACCAGGGCAACCCCACAAAACUGUGGCAGGAGAGGAGCGGCACCAGUUGGAGUGCCCAUGAGCAUGACGUAUGUGCUCUGGGAUAUGUGAAGUCCAGGAUUCAGGGUCCAGGUUAUCUUUUCUAUGAAGCAUUUUUCUCCUCUUACCUCCAGGCUGCAGUAAAAGGUUUAGGGCUAAGGCAAUGAGAGAUGUCCAGCAGAGAACUCAGGAGCAGGAGCCCAGAAGAAGACCCUUAGAACAGAUACGGGGAACACGGAAACAUUCCUCAAAGACCCCCAGAAAUAAUUGGCAAGGGCAGCCAGGUGCAAGACUAUAAUUCCACUGGAUCAACUAAGAGAAGAGCUCGAACAAUUGUAAGGCAAUCAUCCAUGUAAGAUGCAGAAUCCCAGGACAUCUGGGUUACAAUGAACUCAACAGAAUUGACUGAGAACCAGUUCUGUAUCCGGAACUAGAAAGACAAUGAUGAGCAAGAUGUUCAUGGUCUUGAGCCUCACACAUACAACAAAUGCUCACUGAAUAUGUGCUUGUUGAUUCCAAUAGAGAUUACAGUCUGUGAAGGUGGCAAACUUUUUCUCUAAAGGGCCAGAUAACAAAUAAUUUCAGCUUUGUGGGUCACGUGGUAGUGGCAUCUACUCAAAUCUACCACUGUAGCGUGAAAGCAGCCGUG